GGAAUCUUCCACAAUGGACGAAAGUCUGAUGGAGCAACGCCGCGUGAGUGAAGAAGGUUUUCGGAUCGUAAAACUAUGUUGUUGGAGAAGAACACGUUUGAGAGUAACUGUUCAGACGUUGACGGUAUCCAACCAGAAAGCCACGGCUAACUACGUGCCAGCAGCCGCGGUAAUACGUAGGUGGCAAGCGUUAUCCGGAUUUAUUGGGCGUAAAGCGAGCGCAGGCGGUUUCUUAAGUCUGAUGUGAAAGCCUUCGGCUUAACCGAAGAAGUGCAUCGGAAACUGGGAAACUUGAGUGCAGAAGAGGACAGUGGAACUCCAUGUGUAGCGGUGAAAUGCGUAGAUAUUGGGAAGAACACCGGUGGCGAAGGCGCCUUUCUGGACUGUGUCUGACGCUGAGAUGCGAAAGCCAGGGUAGCGAACG
rnacentral:rRNA from 1 species